GGAGAUGUAACUCAGUCGUAGAGUGCUUGCCUGGAAAGCAUGAGGCCCUGGGUUCAAUUCCCAGCACCAACA
rfam:Ictidomys tridecemlineatus contig091375, whole genome shotgun sequence.